UUACUCCAGGAAACGAAGGGUUACUGGAAUUUUGAUGGGAAGAGAUGAAAAACACCGAGCUCCCAGGGUUAAUGGCGGUCUCGUGAGACUAGGGGUCACAGAGAUUAGGCUUUACCAGAACAACUGAGAACUCAAAAGAUAAGAUUAAUCUACAUCGCCUGAUCUCUGCGACCACUUCCAUUAAUCCUGGGAGUUUGGUGUUUUUCAUCUCUUCCCAAUAAAAGUCCAACAUUGGUAUCGGAGUGA
rnacentral:pre_miRNA from 1 species